GGCAAGCCAGGGCUUUGCCCUGGUAAUUUUCAACCAUAACCACACCCAAAAGGUGUGUUUUGUUAUUAUUAGGAGUGAUAUCAUCACUAGAAUUCAUUUUUUAUAGCCACAACUGUUUAUACUUGCUAUCAGCUCCACUUUACAGUUAUUUUAGUGUGAUAACUGGCUUCUGUGAGCUAUCAUAAGGACUUUCAGUCAUUUUAUUAAUUGACCACACCCCUAAUUCUUAUGAAUAAUUAAUGAGCCCUGGUUAAUUCAAGAUUCUUUAGCCGCCUAUGCGAGGCACACACA